rnacentral:miRNA from 1 species
AUCCCCUGGACAUCUCGUUAAAUGCAGAUUUUGAUUCAGCAGGUCUAGGCCUAAGAUUCUGCAUUUCUAACCAGCUCCCAGGUGAUGC